rfam:Pantoea stewartii subsp. stewartii DC283 WGS_Sequence19, whole genome shotgun sequence.
UCUGUUACUGGGUCGCCUGUAGCAGA